CUGUACUGUCAUUUCUAAUGUAAUCGUGAGAGGAAACAGGCAGGAUAUAUUCGCAAUAAUUCAAAUGAGCACCAAGCCUAAGAGCAAAUAAAUCCAUGGAGAUGGAGAGUGGAUUGCGAGGCUUGGGCAUUUGCUGGCUCAGGGGUUUGGCCUGCUGGAGGAGGCAAUAGACCUGCCCCAAGGCAGCGGAAAUUGCAUGACCUCUAUCAAAAGAUUGAGAAAUGCCCCAUGCAGACUCGUGGACAGACCGCCCUAUUUGGAAGGU